rnacentral:rRNA from 1 species
AGCGCAGGCGGUUUCUUAAGUCUGAUGUGAAAGCCUUCGGCUUAACCGGAGAAGAGCAUCGGAAACUGGGAGACUUGAGUGCAGAAAAGGACAGUGGAGCUCCAUGUGUAGCGGUGAAAUGCGUAGAUAUAUGGAAGAACACCAGUGGCGAAGGCGGCUGUCUGGUCUGUAACUGACGCUGAGGCUCAAAGCAUGGGUAGCGAACA